GCGGGCUCACGCGGACGCCCGGUCAGACGCUUGCCGUCCAAGCUCCGC
rnacentral:ncRNA from 1 species